rnacentral:rRNA from 1 species
GAUGAACGCUAGCGGGAGGCCUAACACAUGCAAGCCGAGCGGUAGAGCUCCCUCGGUACCUUUAGAGCGGCGCACGGGUGCGUAACACGUGUGCAACCUACCUUUAUCUGGGGGAUAGCCUUUCGAAAGGAAGAUCAAUACCCCAUAAUAUAAUGAUUGGCAUCAAUUAUUAUUUAAAACUCCGGUGGAUAGAGAUGGGCACGCGCAAGAUUAGAUAGUUGGUGAGGUAACGGCUCACCAAGUCAAUGAUCUUUAGGGGUCCUGAGAGGGAGAUCCCCCACACUGGUACUGAGACACGGACCAGAGUUCUACCGGAGGAAGCAGUGAGGAAUAAUAGACAAUAGAUGAGCGCCUAGUCCAACCAGCCCGCGUAAAAGAUGACGGUCCUAUGGAUUGUAAACUUCUUUUGUACAAGGAUAAACCUAACCUCGUGAGAGUAACUGAAGGUACUGUACGAAUAAGCACCGGCUAACUACGUG